UACAGAGGGGGCAAGCGUUAUUCGGAAUUAUUGGGCGUAAAGGGCGCGUAGGCGGCGAUUCAAGUGACGGGUGAAAUCCCUCGGCUUAACCGAGGAACUGCCUGUCAGACUGGAUUGCUUGAGGCCGGGAGAGGCGAGUGGAAUUCCCAGUGUAGCGGUGAAAUGCGUAGAUAUUGGGAGGAACACCGGUGGCGAAGGCGGCUUUCUGGACCGACACUGACGCUGAGGCGCGAAAGCUAGGGGAGCAAACGGG
rnacentral:rRNA from 1 species